GAUCAUUAACGAGUUGAACGGGGUUGUAGCUGGCCUUCACGGGCAUGUGCACACCUCACUCAUCCACUCUACACCUGUGCACUUACUGUGGGUUUCGAGAGGCCGCGCUUGCGUGGUUGAUCGGGCGCACGUCUAUUACAAACUCUUCAGUAUCAGAAUGUGUAUCGCGAUGUAACGCAUCUAUAUACAACUUUCAGCAACGGAUCUCUUGGCUCUCGCAUCGAUGAAGAACGCAGCGAAAUGCGAUAAGUAAUGUGAAUUGCAGAAUUCAGUGAAUCAUCGAAUCUUUGAACGCACCUUGCGCUCCUUGGUAUUCCGAGGAGCAUGCCUGUUUGAGUGUCGUGUAAUUCUCAACCUAUAAAUCCUUGUGGUUUUUAGGCUUGGACUUGGAGGCUUUUGCUGGCUUUACCGUCGGCUCCUCUUAAACGCAUUAGCUUGAUUCCGUGCGGAUCGGCUCUCAGUGUGAUAAUUAUCUGCGCUGUGACCGUGAAGCGUUUGGCGAGCUUCUAACCGUCUCUUCGAGACAAACACUUUGACAUCUGACCUCAAAUCAGGUAGGACUACCCGCUGAACUUUAAGCAUAUCAAUAAGCGG
rnacentral:rRNA from 1 species